rnacentral:rRNA from 1 species
GGUAACGUACCUCGGGUUUCAGGAUAGCGUUCCGAAAGGGACGGUAAUACUGGAUGAUAUCAGUGGUUGCAGGAUCGCUGAUCAAAGAUUUAUCAACCCGAGAGCGGCCUAUCUCCUAUCAGCUAGUUGGUGAGGUAAUGGCUCACCAAGGCAAUGACGGGUAGCGGGACUGAGAGGUUGACCCGCCACAUCGGGACUGAGACACUGCCCGGACCUCCACGGAGGGCUGCAGUAACGAAUAUUGGGCAAUGGGCGAAAGCCUGACCCAGCGACGCCGCGUAUAGGAUGAAGUUCUUCGGAAUGUAAACUAUUGUCAGGGGCAAGAAAGCCGUAAGGUUGAUCAGCCCCAGAGGAAGUCACGACUAACUUCGUGCCAGCAGCGCGGUAAUACGAAGGUGACAAGCGUUAUUCGAAAUCACUGGGCUUAAAGGGUGCGUAGGCGGAAAUGUAAGUGUCUUGUGAAAUACCUUGGCUCAACCAAGGCAUUGCUCGGCAAACUGCAUUUCUUGAGGCAAGCAGGGGUGUGUGGAACUCUUGGUGGAGCGGUGGAAUGCGUAGAUAUCAAGAGGAACGCCGAAGGUGAAGACAGCACACUGGGCUUGUCCUGACGCUGAUGCACGAAAGCGUGGGAGCAAACAGGA